rnacentral:rRNA from 1 species
AACGAACGCUGGCGGCAUGCCUAACACAUGCAAGUCGAACGAGACCUUCGGGUCUAGUGGCGCACGGGUGCGUAACGCGUGGGAACCUGCCCUUAGGUUCGGAAUAACUCCCCGAAAGGGGUGCUAAUACCGGAUAAUGUCUUCGGACCAAAGAUUUAUCGCCUUUGGAUGGGCCCGCGUUGGAUUAGCUAGUUGGUAGGGUAAAAGCCUACCAAGGCGACGAUCCAUAGCUGGUCUGAGAGGAUGAUCAGCCACACUGGGACUGAGACACGGCCCAGACUCCUCCGGGAGGCAGCAGGGGGGAAGAUGGGACAAGGGGCGAAAGCCUGAUCAAGCAAGGCCGCGUGAGUGAUGAAGGCCUUAGGGUUGUAAAGCUCUUUACCCGGGAUGAUAAUGACAGUACCGGGAGAAUAAGCGCCGGCUAACUCCGUG